rnacentral:rRNA from 1 species
UACGUAGGGGGCAAGCGUUGUCCGGAAUCAUUGGGCGUAAAGCGCGCGUAGGCGGCCCGGUAAGUCCGUUGUGAAAGUCAAAGGCUCAACCUUUGAACGCCGAUGGAUACUGCCGGGCUAGAGUCCGGAAGAGGCGAGUGGAAUUCCUGGUGUAGCGGUGGAAUGCGCAGAUAUCAGGAGGAACACCAAUAGCGAAGGCAGCUCGCUGGGACGGUACUGACGCUGAGGCGCGAAAUCGUGGGGAGCGAACAGG